rnacentral:lncRNA from 1 species
AAAAUCUAUCCUAGGCACAUUUUUUUUUAUCUCCCUCUGGCAGAAGCUGAAAGGAGCAAUUUCAAUCACUUAUGCAUUUUGCAGACCUUUGGUCACAUCUACCCUUGCACCAUCCUGUUAGUCAAAGCAAGUCACUUUCCAAGUCAGGCAAGGACGUUUCAGUCAGGCUUCGGCAACUGAUAUAAAUACUGCCAUACGUUGUGCCAAUGAAGCUCUUAAAGGAUUUAAGGCACUCCAAGUAUUAACACCUGAGAAUGCUUCAGUUGAAUGUUGCAUCUGUAAAAUCACAGCUAACUUAAAUGGUCUAAUUUACCUAAAUUUAUUGGACAAAGCAAAUCACAAAAAUGUACUUAAUUUCUGGAAUACAGUCAAAGACCAAGAUGAAGAAUACCCAGCAUAUCUGAAAAACUCAAAUUCAACACGCAGAAAGUUUAUAGAUGAGAUGUUCCACUGAUUCAAACCUGUAAAGAAGAAAAUAAGAAAACCAAAAGGUAAUACUUAUUAUCUCAGAAUAAAGUGCUAUUCUUUCAAAAAGGAGCUGAACU